AUUGAACGCUGGCGGCAGGCUUAACACAUGCAAGUCGAGCGGAGAUGAGGUGCUUGCACCUUAUCUUAGCGGCGGACGGGUGAGUAAUGCUUAGGAAUCUGCCUAUUGGUGGGGGACAACAUUCCGAAAGGAAUGCUAAUACCGCAUACGCCCUACGGGGGAAAGCAGGGGAUCUUCGGACCUUGCGCUAAUAGAUGAGCCUAAGUCGGAUUAGCUAGUUGGUGGGGUAAAGGCCUACCAAGGCGACGAUCUGUAGCGGGUCUGAGAGGAUGAUCCGCCACACUGGGACUGAGACACGGCCCAGACUCCUACGGGAGGCAGCAGUGGGGAAUAUUGGACAAUGGGCGUAAGCCUGAUCCAGCCAUGCCGCGUGUGUGAAGAAGGCCUUUUGGUUGUAAAGCACUUUAAGCGAGGAGGAGGCUACCUGGAUUAAUACUCUAGGAUAGUGGACGUUACUCGCAGAAUAAGCACCGGCUAACUCUGUGCCAGCCGCCGCUGUAAUAC
rnacentral:rRNA from 1 species